CUUCACCGAACCCAGCCGCAGGGGCUCCGCGCGGUCCUGCCCGUACACGGUCAGCAGCGCCUGUGCCUC
rnacentral:antisense_RNA from 1 species